AUUUCAUUGGAAGUACAGAUACAUAUACUGCCCCUUUCUAUAAAAUGAUUAACAGUUCUGUACAAAUAUAAGGGUAGACCAAGAAUUACAUAUAAAAUACAAAGCACGUCAUUGUGUGUUCGAACUACCAUAGUUCUUCAGUUGUAAUUUGUCAAGCGUUUAUCGCUCGACAGAUGAAAUGAAGAUCGAUAAAAGCAUGCAAGAUCCAUCAAUCAAAAACAGG
rnacentral:misc_RNA from 1 species